CGUAACGCGUGAUAGCAACCUACCUUUCACUAUAGGGAUAGCCCACGAGAAAUCUCUGGAUCUAAUACCUGUAUAGUGAUUAUUGAUUGGCAUCGAUUAAGUAAUGUAAAGAUGUUAUUGGUUAGAGAUGGCUAUGCGUCUCUAUCUAGCGUCAGUUAGGUUAGUGUGAGACGGCGUAACCAGAGGCACACAGAUACAGAUAGAGGGUCCUGAGAGGGAGAUCCCCCACACUGGCUACUGAGACACGGACCAGACUCCUACAGCGGAGGCAGCAGUGAGGAAUAUUGGACAAUGGAGGCAACUCUGAUCCAGCCAUGCCGCGUGUAGGAAGACUGCCCUAUGGGUUGUAAACUACUUUUAUAGAGGAAGAAACCCCGGUAUGUAUACCGGUCUGACGGUACUCUACGAAUAAGGAUCGGCUAACUCCGCUGCCAGCAGCCGCGGUAAUACGGAGGAUCCAAGCGUUAUCCGGAAUCAUUGGGUUUAAAGGGUCCGUAGGCGGGUUUAUAAGUCAGUGGUGAAAGUUUGCGGCUCAACCGUAAAAUUGCCAUUGAUACUGUAGAUCUUGAAUUAUUGUGAAGUGGUUAGAAUGUGUAGUGUAGCGGUGAAAUGCAUAGAUAUUACACAGAAUACCGAUUGCGAAGGCAGAUCACUAACAAUUGAUUGACGCUAAGGGACGAAAGCGUGGGUAGCGAACAGG
rnacentral:rRNA from 1 species